rnacentral:sRNA from 1 species
CCCUAGCCCUGAUUGACGCGACAUCCUUUUUGUUUCGGGCGGAGCAUAAACUGAAAGUUUACGAACAUGGUUCAGGAGCCCGAAACAAAAAGAUACAGCGGAAAGCGGGAAAUUGC